rnacentral:rRNA from 1 species
UACGGGGGGGGCAAGCGUUGUUCGGAAUUACUGGGCGUAAAGGGCUCGUAGGCGGCCAACUAAGUCAGACGUGAAAUCCCUCGGCUUAACCUGGGAACUGCAUCCGAUACUGGAUGGCUUGAAUUCGGGAGAGGGAUGCAGAAUUCCAGGUGUAGCGGUGAAAUGCGUAGAUAUCUGGAGGAAUACCGGUGGCGAAGGCGGCAUCCUGGACCGAGAUUGACGCUGAUGAGCGAAAGCUAGGGGAGCAAACGGG